CUUUUUUCCAUGUAAAAAGAAGCUAUCAUCUUCUGGGAAGAAAAAAGGCUGAGAAAUUCCGUGAUCUGCCAUCUGCAAGCUGGAUAAUAAGAUAAGCUGGUGGUGUAAUUUAGUCUACACUGGAAUGCCUGAGAAUCAGGAGUUAACAGUUUAAGUCUUCUUCAGAGUCCACAGGCUGGAGAACCAGAAGCUUUGGUACCCCAAGACAGGAGCAGGGAUGCCCUGUGCAGUGUAAGAUGACAGUAGCAUCUCCAGCAUCCACCUGCUAGAUGCCAAG
rnacentral:lncRNA from 13 species